ensembl:lncRNA TRPM2-AS TRPM2 antisense RNA
AGAGAGCAGAGCCACGCCACACGGGAGGCCAGCUCCAGGCACAGAACUCAGCCCACAGACCUCACAAUUCCAGGCUUCCUGGGAACCAAAGCAAGAAAAAAGGAGAAGCACACAGACUUUCGAUAUUAUAAGCCUCACUGGCUAAUAACACGAAGUGGGUGUUUAUCAGGAGACAGACACUGUCUGGCACUGAACUCUAGGACCUGAUCUGUGGAUUCUGACGAGCACAAGAGCCAGACCCUCCAGGGGUGCAUGUGGAAGGGGCAGGGCUGCAGGGGCCUCCUUGGUGUGUCUCAGGGUGACAGGCACAGAGCCCUCCGCAGUGGGAGCCGGAAGUGUGGGUGCCAUACUUGCUGCAGGGACAGUGUCCUGCCACCAGCCCCUUGGCCUCGAGAUGACAGUCCUGGCCCAUGCUCGGGUUCUCUCAAUGUUCAGAACCCACGUUCUGAAAGGUGGCAACCUCAGCAACUUAGCCAAUGAAACAAGAAGAGAAACGGUUGGUUCCUAACAAAACCAGGAACACAAGGAUUUUCAGAGUCCUGGGUAGCACAGGGUCUGUCUGCAGAUGCUGGGAAGGGCUCUGAGGGCCUGGGAGGCUUUCUGAAUUAUGGGGGCAACGUGGGGAGACUGGGCUUUCUGUGGACCAUGACAGCUCCGCAGCCGUGCUGGGCUCCUCAGCUCCACUGUCAGGGCUAGGAAUUGGCCACAGAACCCCCAGAGCCAACCCUGGGGCCCACUAGGACCCCAAACACCUGUGUUUUCAUUCUGCGUGGCCUCCUGGUUCCCUGGAGUUCUUUUUUAUGCUGCCUCUGGUGUGAGGUCCUCAGCAUUUAAUUUGUUCUAAGUUUAAAAGCUGCAAGAGCAAAACAGAACCCCCAAAGCCUGGGGCCCACAGCUGCUGCGGCUGAUCAGAGAUACGACCCCAGAGGACCACGUCCACCAGGGGCCGGAUGGACAGCCACCUAUUUUGUACUCCUUGUUUCAAAAGCAACAAUAGCAAAUAACAUUCCAAAAGUUCUAUGAUAAGACUUCAAGACACUAGGAUUUAAAGAAAAUCCUAGACAUUUUCAAAGAGAAGAAACAGCUACUGCAUGGGUCUCCUGAUGCUGCUGUAGUGAACCGCCACGGCCUUGGCAGCUUAAAGCAAUCAGACUCUUCUCUCAGUCCUGGAGGUCAGGAGUCUCACUGGGCUAAAACCAAGGUUCGGCAGGGCUGUGCUCCUCCCGUAGGUCGGGAGCCUCCAUGCCUUGCCUUUCCUGCCUUCCAGAGGCUGCCUGCAUUCCUGGGCUGAGGCUCUCCCCUCCCGCCGACGCUCACUGCCACCGUCACAUUCCUUCUCCGCCUCCCUCUUCCACGGCCCCUCAUGAUGAUGUCGGGCCCAUGCAGAUAACCCCAGAUAAUUUCCCACCUCAGGAUCCUCCACUUAACCCCACCCUCCCAGUCCCUUUUGCCACAUAGGGCCCCAUAGCCACAGGGUUCGAGUGUGGACCUCCCUGGGGCUGUUAUUCAAACUGCCACAGAUGCCACAAACACCAGGCCCAGAGGAGGUGGACACGUGUGUGCAAAUCCACAAAACCAGCAAAGCACGUGAAGACGUGCAGAUGAGGAAGACCCCAAUGGCACGGGAGGGCAGACACAGAGCCGUCCACAGAUGGAUCGGAGCUCUGGGGAAGGCACCGCAGAGCCAGCGCCGUCUGAGGCACACGAUGGCAGACGGGAAAAGAAGCCACCUGCUGGGAUGCUGAGACUCGCUUGCAGGAGCUUUUGGAACUGGCUGAGGUCACAGCUGGAACCACUGUGGCCAGCUGGAGUCUGCACAGCCCGAGUUUCCACCCCAGGGUCCCAGUAACUCCGCCCAAAUGUGCACACGAGACCUAUGAGGAGACAUAACUUUCCAGAACCCCCUUUUCUUCCACCAGCCACUUACUCAUCCAAGAACCCACCCCCGAACCUUCCCUAAUAGAAACACUGCAUUAAAGCCAGCGCGGGGAGACAGACGUGAACUGCGCCCCUGUCUCCUUGUGGGUUGGCCUAGAAUAAAAGCUUUUCUUUUCUC